ensembl:lncRNA
CACCCACGUGCCAAUGUAAUUGUUGGUGUCCCGGCUGUAGGCUCGACCAGCCGCGACCGGGAAGAGAAAACCGCUCACUCGCGGCGGGGAGUUGAAACCGCGCUCUGCGGAGCGUCCCCCCGUGGCCGGGCAGGACCUCGGACAGCGCCCGUGACACCAAUCCUUAGUCGCCUUGGGGCUUUCCAGCCUUGCUGGUAAAGCUGGGGCUGCUUCCUGUGCUUGCAGCUUCCAAAAUUUCGUCACCACACCCCUUCUGAAACUGGGACUCAUCGCGCCUGUUGUGUGGCUUUCUUUUUCUUCCGAAAGGUUCGGGUCUUAUCGCUCAAGUUCAAGUCCGGAGGACUUGCCCAGUCUCCUCCCCUUAAGUCAUUCUCUAUCCUCUGGCAACCGCGGAAAUCCGGGAGUCCUAGGCUGCUGGUGUCAGUGCCAACACAGGCAGUCCGGGUCGGUCGGGUGCAGCAACCGGGCGCAUUCGUCUCUCUCCCUCCCUUUCUUCCUUCCUCCGUCGUCUUCUCUACCUACCCCUCCUUCUCUUGCCUCUUAAGUUUCCUGCACCGGGAAUUCAACUGUGCCAAGCCUAGGCUCCCGCGGACCAAUCCGGAUCGCGACCCGGGCACUGGGACAACGACUCCGCCAAGGCUGGACGAGGCAGCUGGACCUGUCCUCGCCCGAGCAUGGAGACGGAGCUCCGGGGAGGGCACGUCCCGGGCGCUGGAGACUCCAGGCCGUAGUAGCUCCUCCAUGGAGCCUGUUCAGAGCGGUUCUUGCUCGCUGCAUUUGCCUCCAGUCCUGUGCGGCUGCUGAGAGCGCUCCCUGCUCUGUAAAGUGGAUGUCAGGUGGAUCUAUGUUUUUGAAGGAACAAAGACUCAGCCAAGGCACCGCCAAGGAAGUUUGAGAGGAGGGAGGAUGCAGGCUGCGUGCUGGUACGUUCUUCUCCUCCUGCAGCCCACCGUCUACUUGGUAAGUCGCGAUCGGUCCGGUCCGGCAUCUUUGAGAUACCUCCCUAGCCUGGAGGCCAAGCAACUGGGGUGAGAGGAGGGGGGGGGGGUGCGGGAGGGCGAGGCCGCCAGUUCAGUGAGAGCUGAGUGUUCCCAGAGAGUGGAAGAACUUUGGGAAGCUUUGGUUUGGAUUCCUGCGAGAGUUUUUCAGGCUCUCAUCCUCAUUUUUUUGCUCUAUUUUCCGUCUCCCGGAUCAUGAUUCUUAACAGCGACUAGUGUACAGGACCUUACAGGUCCAGAAACCAGGAGGUAGUAGGCGAGGAUGCCUUGGGAGGAAGGGGAGAAGAAAGGUAUUGGGAAUCAUGAAACUCUUAGCAGCACUUCUUCCCCCACCUAGUUUAAAUGAAAGGGGGUGGAGGUGGGCUUGAAGAGCUGAACAGGAAUCUACUCACUGCCCCACUGCCCCAGCGCCCCCAGUUUGGGUUUAUGGCACAUGAAGAAAGUGCAGGUAACUUCCUGAGACUUACAGGGGUGCAGCUGGUGUAAGUUUAUCCGCCAGACACAAAGCAAACGACCAGGCAGUUAGGUCAGAGAUACACCUGCAAACAUAACCCUCUCUCGCCUUCCAAGGUCCAGUUGCCAUUAAAUAACAGAAGCAUAGUUUCAGUGAGGGGUUUCUUUUUAGGGAAUGGCAAGCCUUGCCACUAGGGAGAGAAUCUUGUCCUGUCCAGGUUCCUCCAGAAUCAGUUUUCGGAGGUUUGGACUUGACACAAUCUUAGAACCGACGCGGGGAGAAUCGCUCUGUGUGGCUAGGGAG